rnacentral:rRNA from 1 species
UACAGAGGUCUCAAGCGUUGUUCGGAUUCAUUGGGCGUAAAGGGUGCUUAGGUGGCGCGCUAAGUCAGGUGUGAAAUUUCGGAGCUUAACUCCGAAACUGCAUUUGAUACUGGCGUGCUUGAGGACUGGAGAGGAGACUGGAAUUCACGGUGUAGCAGUGAAAUGCGUAGAUAUCGUGAGGAAGACCAGUGGCGAAGGCGGGUCUCUGGACAGUUCCUGACACUGAGGCACGAAGGCCAGGGGAGCAAACGGG